CUACGGGGGGCUGCAGUAAGGAAUAUUGGUCAAUGGACGCAAGUCUGAACCAGCCAUGCCGCGUGAAGGAUUAUGGUCCUCUGGAUUGUAAACUUCUUUUAUAUGGGACGAAAAAAGGUCUUUCUAGACCCCUUGACGGUACCAUAUGAAUAAGCACCGGCUAACUCCGUGCCAGCAGCCGCGGUGAAUACGGAGGGUGCAAGCGUUAUCCGGAUUCACUGGGUUUAAAGGGUGCGUAGGCGGGUAGGUAAGUCAGUGGUGAAAUCCUGGAGCUCAACUCCAGAACUGCCAUUGAUACUAUCUAUCUUGAAUAUUGUGGAGGUAAGCGGAAUAUGUCAUGUAGCGGUGAAAUGCUUAGAUAUGACAUAGAACACCCAUUGCGAAGGCAGCUUACUACGCAUAUAUUGACGCUGAGGCACGAAAGCGUGGGGAUCAAACAGGAUUAGAUACCCGGGUAGUC
rnacentral:rRNA from 1 species